rnacentral:rRNA from 1 species
UGGGCAACCUGCCCCAGACACAGGGAUAACCCCGGGAAACCGGGGCUAAUACCGGAUACUCCGGUCGAACCGCAUGGCUCGAUCGGGAAAGCUCCGACGGUCUGGGAUGGGCCCGCGGCCUAUCAGCUUGUUGGUGGGGUAACGGCCUACCAAGGCGACGACGGGUAGCUGGUCUGAGAGGAUGGCCAGCCACAUUGGGACUGAGACACGGCCCAGACUCCUACGGGAG